rnacentral:rRNA from 1 species
CGGCUAACUGGUGAGUAUCGCGUGAGUAACCUGCCUUACACUAGGGGAUAGCCUUUGGAAACGAAGAAUAUUACCCUAUGAUGUCAACAUCUCGCUUGGUAAGUUGACUUAAGCUUCCGCGGUGUACGAUGGACUCGCGUCUGAUUAUCUUGUUGGUGAGAUAAAGGCCCACCAAGGCAAUGAUCAGUAUUCGGUUUGAGAGAGUGUCCGGCCACAUUGGAACUGAGACACGGUCCAAACUCCUACGGGAGGCAGCAGUGGGGAAUUUUGCACAAUGGAGGAAACUCUGAUGCAGCGACGCCGCGUGAUUUAGAAGGUCUUCGGAUCGUAAGAAUCUUUUCUACGGGAUGAAAAUGACAGUACCGUAUGAAUAAGGUCCGGCUAAUUACGUGCCAGCAGCCGCGGUAAUACGUAAGGACCAAGCGUUGUCCGGAAUCAUUGGGCGUAAA